rnacentral:rRNA from 1 species
AGUGAACGCUGGCGGUAGGCCUAACACAUGCAAGUCGAACGGCAGCACAGGAGAGCUUGCUCUCUGGGUGGCGAGUGGCGGACGGGUGAGGAAUACAUCGGAAUCUACCUUUUCGUGGGGGAUAACGUAGGGAAACUUACGCUAAUACCGCAUACGACCUACGGGUGAAAGUGGGGGACCGCAAGGCCUCACGCGAUUAGAUGAGCCGAUGUCCGAUUAGCUAGUUGGCGGGGUAAUGGCCCACCAAGGCGACGAUCGGUAGCUGGUCUGACAGGAUGAUCAGCCACACUGGAACUGAGACACGGUUCAGACUCCUACGGGAGGCAGCAGUGGGGAAUAUUGGGCAAUGGGCGCAAGCCUGAUCCAGCCAUACUGCGUGGGUGAAGAAGGCCUUCGGGUUGUAAAGCCCUUUUGUUGGGAAAGAAAUCCUGUCGAUUAAUACUCGGUGGGGAUGACGGUACCCAAAGAAUAAGCACCGGCUAACUUCGUGCCAGCCGCCGCUGUAAUAC